UAGGGAAUCUUCCGCAAUGGACGCAAGUCUGACGGAGCAACGCCGCGUGAGUGAAGAAGGUUUUCGGAUCGUAAAGCUCUGUUGUUAAGGAAGAACGAGUGUGAGAAUGGAAAGUUCAUACUGUGACGGUACUUAACCAGAAAGGGACGGCUAACUACGUGCCAGCAGCCGCGGUAAUACGUAGGUCCCGAGCGUUGUCCGGAUUUAUUGGGCGUAAAGCGAGCGCAGGCGGUUAGAUAAGUCUGAAGUUAAAGGCAGUGGCUCAACCAUUGUAGGCUUUGGAAACUGUUUAACUUGAGUGCAGAAGGGGAGAGUGGAAUUCCAUGUGUAGCGGUGAAAUGCGUAGAUAUAUGGAGGAACACCGGUGGCGAAAGCGGCUCUCUGGUCUGUAACUGACGCUGAGGCUCGAAAGCGUGGGGAGCGAACAGG
rnacentral:rRNA from 1 species